AUUGAACGCUGGCGGCAUGCCUUACACAUGCAAGUCGAACGGCAGCACGGGUGCUUGCACCUGGUGGCGAGUGGCGCACGGGUGAGUAAUACAUCGGAACAUGUCCUGUAGUGGGGGAUAGCCCGGCGAAAGCCGGAUUAAUACCGCAUACGAUCUACGGAUGAAAGCGGGGGCCCUUCGGGCCUCGCGCUAUAGGGUUGGCCGAUGGCUGAUUAGCUAGUUGGUGGGGUAAAGGCCUACCAAGGCGACGAUCAGUAGCUGGUCUGAGAGGACGACCAGCCACACUGGGACUGAGACACGGCCCAGACUCCUACGGGAGGCAGCAGUGGGGAAUUUUGGACAAUGGGCGAAAGCCUGAUCCAGCAAUGCCGCGUGUGUGAAGAAGGCCUUCGGGUUGUAAAGCACUUUUGUCCGGAAAGAAAUCCUUGGCUCUAAUACAGUCGGGGGAUGACGGUACCGGAAGAAUAAGCACCGGCUAACUACGUG
rnacentral:rRNA from 1 species